CGAGCUUCCGUUGAAUGACGUGCUUGCACUGAUUUCAACAAUGAAGCGAGUGGCGAACUGGUGAGUAACACGUGGGGAAUCUGCCCAGAAGCAGGGGAUAACACUUGGAAACAGGUGCUAAUACCGUAUAACAACAAAAUCCGCAUGGAUUUUGUUUGAAAGGUGGCUUCGGCUAUCACUUCUGGAUGAUCCCGCGGCGUAUUAGUUAGUUGGUGAGGUAAAGGCCCACCAAGACGAUGAUACGUAGCCGACCUGAGAGGGUAAUCGGCCACAUUGGGACUGAGACACGGCCCAAACUCCUACGGGAGGCAGCAGUAGGGAAUCUUCCACAAUGGACGAAAGUCUGAUGGAGCAAUGCCGCGUGAGUGAAGAAGGGUUUCGGCUCGUAAAACUCUGUUGUUAAAGAAGAACACCUUUGAGAGUAACUGUUCAAGGGUUGACGGUAUUUAACCAGAAAGCCACGGCUAACUACGUGCCAGCAGCCGCGGUAAUACGUAGGUGGCAAGCGUUGUCCGGAUUUAUUGGGCGUAAAGCGAGCGCAGGCGGUUUUUUAAGUCUGAUGUGAAAGCCUUCGGCUUAACCGGAGAAGUGCAUCGGAAACUGGGAGACUUGAGUGCAGAAGAGGACAGUGGAACUCCAUGUGUAGCGGUGGAAUGCGUAGAUAUAUGGAAGAACACCAGUGGCGAAGGCGGCUGUCUAGUCUGUAACUGACGCUGAGGCUCGAAAGCAUGGGUAGCGAACAGGAUUAGAUACCCUGGUAGUCCAUGCCGUAAACGAUGAGUGCUAAGUG
rnacentral:rRNA from 1 species